rnacentral:rRNA from 1 species
AUGGAAAAUAGAAAUACUUUUUCUUGGGUAAAGGAACAGAUAACUCGAUCGAUUUCUGUAUCGAUCAUGAUAUACGUAAUAACUCGGACAUCUAUUUCAAAUGCAUAUCCCAUUUUUGCGCAGCAGGGUUAUGAAAACCCACGAGAAGCAACUGGACGAAUUGUAUGUGCCAAUUGCCAUUUAGCUAGCAAGCCCGUCGAUAUUGAAGUUCCCCAAGCUGUGCUUCCCGAUACUGUAUUUGAAGCAGUUCUUCGAAUUCCUUAUGAUAUGCAAUUGAAACAAGUUCUUGCUAAUGGAAAAAAGGGAGGGUUGAAUGUAGGUGUUGUUCUUAUUUUGCCCGAGGGAUUCGAAUUAGCGCCGCCGCGUAUUUCCCCUGAGUUAAAAGAAAAGAUAGGAAAUCUUGCUUUUCAGAGUUAUCGUCCCGAUAAAAAAAACAUUCUUGUGAUAGGCCCUGUUCCCGGUAAGAAAUAUAGUGAAAUUGUCUUUCCCAUUCUUUCCCCUGAUCCUGCUACGAAGAAAGAUGCUCAUUUCUUAAAAUAUCCCAUAUAUGUAGGGGGAAACCGAGGAAGAGGACAGAUCUAUCCUGAUGGUAGCAAGAGUAACAAUACAGUCUAUAAUGCUACGUCAACAGGUAUAGUAAGAAAAAUACUACGUAAAGAAAAAGGGGGGUAUGAAAUAUCCAUAGUUGAUGCAUCAGAUGGACGCCAAGUGAUUGAUAUUAUACCUCCCGGACCAGAACUUCUUGUUUCAGAGGGGGAAUCCAUCAAGCUUGAUCAACCAUUAACAAGCAAUCCUAAUGUGGGAGGUUUUGGUCAGGGGGACGCAGAAAUCGUGCUUCAGGAUCCAUUACGUGUCCAAGGCCUUUUCUUCUUCUUCGCAUCCAUUAUUUUGGCACAAUUUUUGGUUCUCAAAAAGAAACAGUUUGAAAAGGUUCAAUUGUACGAAAUGAAUUUCUAG